GCCGGGUGUGGUGGUGUGCGCCUGUAAUCCAAGCUCCAUGGAGGCUGAGGCUGGAGGAUGGUUGGAGCUCAGGAGCUCUGAGCUGCAGUGGACUAUGUUGAUCAGGUGUCCACACUCAGCUCGGUAUCGAUAUGGUCUUCCUGGGGGAGCCCGGGACAACCAGGUCGUCUAAGGAGGGGUGAAUCGGCCCAGGUCGGAAACGGAGCAGGUCAAAGCCCGCGUGCCGUUCAGUGGUGGGAUCACACCUGAGAGUAGAUGCUGCAGUGCAGCCUGAGCAACACAUCCAGACCCAGUCUUUU
ensembl:misc_RNA Metazoa_SRP Metazoan signal recognition particle RNA